GAUGAACGCUGGCGGCAUGCCUAACACAUGCAAGUCGAACGAAGCUCCGACCUUUGAGAUUUCGGUCAAGAAGGAAGGAUGACUGAGUGGCGAACGGGUGAGUAAUGCAUGAGCAACCUGCCCUUCAGUGGGGGACAACAGUUGGAAACGACUGCUAAUACCGCAUAACACUUCCGGAAGGCAUCUUCUGGAAGUCAAAGAUUUAUUGCUGAAGGAUGGGCUCAUGUCUGAUUAGUUAGUUGGCGGGGUAACGGCCCACCAAGACUACGAUCAGUAGCCGGUCUGANAGGAUGAACGGCCACAUUGGGACUGAGAUACGGCCCAGACUCCUA
rnacentral:rRNA from 1 species